rnacentral:rRNA from 1 species
AUUGAACGCUGGCGGCAGGCCUAACACAUGCAAGUCGAGCGGAUGACGGGAGCUUGCUCCUUGAUUCAGCGGCGGACGGGUGAGUAAUGCCUAGGAAUCUGCCUGGUAGUGGGGGACAACGUUUCGAAAGGAACGCUAAUACCGCAUACGUCCUACGGGAGAAAGCAGGGGAUCUUCGGGCCUUGCGCUAUCAGAUGAGCCUAGGUCGGAUUAGCUAGUUGGUGGGGUAAUGGCUAACCAAGGCGACGAUCCGUAACUGGUCUGAGAGGAUGAUCAGUCACACUGGAACUGAGACACGGUCCAGACUCCUACGGGAGGCAGCAGUGGGGAAUAUUGGACAAUGGGCGAAAGCCUGAUCCAGCCAUGCCGCGUGUGUGAAGAAGGUUUUCGGAUUGUAAAGCACUUUAAGUUGGGAGGAAGGGCAGUAAGCUAAUAUCUUGCUGUUUUGACGUUACCGACAGAAUAAGCACCGGCUAACUCUGUGCCAGCCGCCGCAGUAA